ACCGGAUCGGGAUGCAGUGACCUCCGAGGGCGCCGAACGGUCGCCUGGGGCAAUACGUGCCCCGCCCUCCGAGCGAGCGAGUGGUGAGACCGACCCGCAAGCGG
rnacentral:ncRNA from 1 species